rfam:Zootermopsis nevadensis contig220, whole genome shotgun sequence.
UGGUCUAGCGGUCAGAACGCUGGCCUUGUAAUCCUGGGGUCCCGGGUUCAAUUCCCGG